CCUCUGGCUCCUUCUUCCCAUUCAACUAAUCUUUUCUCUCUCAUCCAAGCAUCUCAACAUCAUCUGGUAUCCAUUGCUCAAAUUUGAAAAAUUAGGAGCCACCAGUGUUCAUCGCCGCUACCACGGUUUACGAUUACGAGAAGUGGGCACCGCAAUACGACCACAAUCUGGGCUUUCCGAAUCAAAACAGGUCGUCUGCGAUGCUGCUAAGAUCCAUGGUGUUUCUGAUCUCCAAUUCAAUUCAUCCAAUGAAGGAAUUGAUGAUGAAGAAGAAUCGUUAAGCACUGAAAUAACAUGUGCAACCACGUUGGGAGGUGUUUUGUAAGCAUUAAGGAUUCAUACAAACGUCUUUCCAGUUCAUCACACUUCAUCACACUGAUGGUGAAUCUGAUGAUUUUAUUGUUGUAUUGAUGUUUCUAAUUAAAAUCUUUGUGGCACGAUACCCCGUGAUGGCCCUUUCACAAGCUUCCCAAUCUAAAGGUACCAAAUGCUACCCACCAUGUUUCUUUUUUGUCCUACAAACUCUUAAAUUUGAGUGUGGUGUCUACAAUUUUAUUCAAGUUAGAAGUACUGGAUCUUAAGGGCAUGGAAUGAGCUGAAAUUAUAACACCUGGCUCACCUAUUCCUGUACAUUUACCAAUUGAAUCUGCAGUUGAGGAAUACAUGGUUCGCAAAUCGCAAUGAUGAUACUACUUUGUGCAUUUUGAAGCUAUAAAGCCAGCAUGUCAAAUAAACAAAGCAAAAGAAGAGGGUUUGUUGAAAAAAAAAUGUGCAGCUAUGCUCAAGGGAAUGACUACCCAGUUCCUCCUCCUCCUCCGUUCCUUUGAGUCAUAUUGCAUUCUUGCUGAUUUAUUUUUGACUAAGUACUUAAUUUGAACAAGUAAAAAAUGGGCAUAUGGCCACGUGCGUGCGGCAACUGAUGGUGUUGGAUCGUGAUUGGGUCAAUGGGCAAAUGCACUGGUGAGUGCAUCCGUUUUUUUACUCACCCUUACCAUUGGAUUAGGCCAAUAUUAAAUCCUAAUUAUCUUAAUAUCAUAUAUUUAUUUUUGUUCGUGGGCUGUGGAGUAGGUAGAUCAGAGUACCAGACAUGUAUUUUCAACAUGUUUGAUUUUAUGUAGUGUUUGAAAAUUUUGGAGCCUAAUGUAACACCCCGUGUUUUCGAAUGUCAAAGUCAAAGUCAAAGUCCAAGUCAACUUAGACUUCAUUGACUGAUAAUAGUUCUUUUUGCUUUUUGUAUUAUGUGGAGUAAGUGUUGUCUAAAUGAAAUGAUCGAAUGU
rnacentral:lncRNA from 1 species